rnacentral:lncRNA from 1 species
CAGAACUUCCUUUCUUCUAACUUUCUUCACACCAUCCAUUCCCUUAUAUCAACAAUAGCAACGAAUGCCACCAACAGAACCCAGAGCAAUAGUAACUUAGGAAUCUAAGACCUCAUGGCUUGAAUGGAUGUGCACUCUUUUUUACUUUCAUUUUGCACAGCCACUGAGUGGUGGCUUUGCUGCAUCUUCAUACUCAUCCCAACAAUUAAGUCAUUUCUACGUUUUCUCUCUUCAUUCUUCCUCAUUUAUCUCCAUCCUUAAUAACCCCAUUUUAAAGUUGCACAUAGAGAUACACAAAUAUAAGAUCACUUCUUCUGAAAACAAAACCAACAAUUAUUCAAGAACCCCAGUUCAACAACCAUGUCUGUGUUUAAAUGCAAGCCGAAAAACUAAAAAAUGAAAAUCCUAAAAAUUACUCAUGACACUCUUCAAAAUAAAAAAAGAACAACAGAAUCACAAAAUGCAAGAGCGAUUAAGGUACUCCGGGUCUAUCAAUGCUAAAAAACUCUUCCAUUUCUUCCAAGAGCAAAUAAGGAUUUAAAUUAACUUUAAAAGACCAUAGGAAAAGGACAUCAUAAUAACAACACAAAUAUAAGAGUGUAAUAGUAACAUGGAGGGAAUUUUAAAAAGUAACAAAAUGCAAAAUUUUAGAGAUGAAAUGAGUAUUCAUAGAUUUGUUUUUUAAAAAAUUACCAAAGGUGGAUCUUAUUUAUUUUUAUAUAUCCCUUACUUUUAAGCCUAACUAACUGAAGACGUAUCAAAAGACAAAAAUCGAAACACAUUUACUCUGAACAAUCGUUGAUACAUUUCGCGAGGAGUAGAAAGUAGAAAAUAGAAUAACCAAAGCAUGGACAUGGUUUAACACUGACAGUAAAUUGAUGCAGAAGCAUCUUUGUCCUCUGGUCACACAUACUGCCCAGAAAUUCCUUUCUUCUAACUCUCUUAGCACCAUCUCAUUCUCCUUGUAGAUGGGAUGGUGUUAAGAGAGUUAGAAGAAAGGAAUUGGUGGCUCUGGUGCAUCUUCAUACUCAACCCAACAAUUAAGUCAGUCUCUACCUUUUCUCAGUCCCUUCUUCCACUUUUAUCUCCUUCCUUAAUAACCUCAUAUUAAAGUUGCACAUAGAGAUACACAAAUAUAAGAUCACUUCUUCUAAAAACAAAACAAACAAUCAUUCAAAAGAACCCCAGUUAAACAACCAUGUGUGUGUUUAAAUGCAAGCCAAAAGAACUAAACAAUAAUAAUCCUCAAAAUGACCCACAUCAUAAAAAAAAAAAAACAACACAAUCAGUGAAUGCAAACCUAAACAGUUCGUGGAAUUUCCUGAGGAAAUAACCUCUGCUUUCAUCGGCGAUUCAGGUACUCCCUACAACUUAACCCAACAAUUAAGUCAGUCUUUACCUUGAUUCUUCUCCCUUCUUCCACCUUUAUCUCCUUCCUUAAUAACCUAAUAUUAAAGUUGCACAUAGAGAUACACAAAUAUAAGAUCACUUCUGAAAACAAAACCAACACUUAUUCAAGAACCUCAGUUUUAACAAACAAGUGUGUGUGUUUCAAUGCAAGGGAAACAACUAAAAAGUAAAAAUCCUAAAAAUUACACACGACACUCUUGAAAAUAAAAAAAAGAACAGAAUCACAGAAUGCAAACCUGAAAAGUUCGUGGAAUUUCCAAGGAAAUAACCUCUGUUUUCUUUGACGAUUAAGGUACUACAGAUCUAUCAAGGCUAAAAAACUCUUCCAUUCCUUCAACUUAAACCAAGAGCGAAUAAGUAUUCAAACUUAAAAACUACAGAAAAAGGACAUGAUAAUUAUAAUACAAAUAUAAGAGUUGUAAUAGUAACAUGAAGGAAAUUUUAAAAUUAACAAAACACAAAAUUUUAUAGAUGAAAUGAGUAUUUAUAGAUUUGAUUGUUCAAAAAUUACCAAAGAUGGAUCUUAUUUAUUUUGAUAUAUGUUUAUAUAAAUAUCUUAAGUAAAAGGACAUGAAAGUAAAAAUGAGAAUGGCCAAAGCAUGGACAUGGUUUAACACUGACACUAAAUUGACGCAGAAGAAUCUUUGUCCUUUGGUCACACAAUACUCCCUAGAACUUCCUUUCUUAUAACUUUGAAUGGAUGCACAUUCUUUUUUACUUUCUAUUUUUCCCAUUAAACCUUACAACCACUGACUGGUGGCUCUGCAGCAUCUUCAUACUCAACCCAACAAUUAAGUAUGUCUCUAACUAUUCUCUCUCCCUUCUUCCUUCUUUAUCUCCUUCCUUAAUAACCUCAUAUUAAAGUUGCACAUAGAGAUACACAAAUAUAAAAUCACUUAUUAUGAAAACAAAACCAACAAUCAUUCAAUAACACCAGUUCAACAACCAUGUGUGUGUUUAAACGCAAGCCAAACAAACUAAAAAAUAAUAAAAAUGACCUAGGACACACUCCAAAAUAAAAAAGGAACAACACAAUCACUGAAUACAAACCUGAACAGUUCGUGAAAUUUCCGAGGAAAUAAGCUUUGCUUUCAUUGGCGAUUCAAGUACUCGAGAUCUAUCAAGGCUAAAAAACUCUUCCAUUCCACUUAUAUACUUAAUGCGAAUAUGGAUCUAAAUUAACUUUAAAAAUCCAUAGAAAAAUGACAUGAUAAUUACAAUAUAAAUAUAGGAGAGUAAAAAUAACAUGGAGGGAAUUUUAAAAAGUAACAAAUCACAGAAUUUUGGUGAUGAAAUGAGUAAAUAUAGUGGAAAGUGGAAAUCAGAAUGACCAAAGCAAGGACAUGGUUUAACACUUGACACUAAAUUGAUGCAGAAGCAUCUUUGUCCUCCGGUCACACACACGGCCCAAAACUUCCUUUCUUCUAACUUUGUUAACACCAUCAAUUCCCUUGUCGAUUAACAAUACAAACCAGUGCCACCAACAGAACCCAGAGAAAUAGUAAUUUAGGAAUCCAAGCUCUCUUAGCUUGAGUGGAUGUGCACUCUUUUUUACUUUCAAUUUGCCCAUUAGACCUUACAGCCCCUAGGUGGUGGCUCUACUGCAUCUUCACCUUCACACCCAUCCCAACAAUUAAGUCAUUUCUACUUUUUCUCCGUCCCUUCUUCCUCCUUUAUCUCCUUCCUUAAUAACCUCAUAUUAAAGUUGCUCAUAGAGAAACAAAAAUAUAAGAUCACUUCUUAUGAAAAUAAAACCAACAAUCAUUCAAUAACCCCUGUUCAACAACCAUAUAGUAUGAAAAGGCAGAGAGAGAGACUGAACCGAAAGGGAUGGCUUAUGGCCAAUUCGCUCCUAACGAACCCUUAAAAAGAAGAUUCAUUCUCCGAAGCUUGUCUAUUUCCCAACGCGCGUGAUUAAAUGCAAGCCAAAAAAAAAUAAUAAUAAUCCUCAAAAUUACCCAGGACACUCUCCAAAAUCAAAAAAGAACAACAGAAUCACAGAAUCCAAACCUGAACAAUUCGUGGAAUUUCUGAGGAAAUAAUCUGUGUUUCAUCGGCGAUUCAGGUACUCAAGAGAUCUAUCAAGGCUAAAAAACUCUUCCAUUCAACUUAUACCUAGAGCGAAUAAGGAUCUAAAUUAACUUUAAAAAACCAUAGAAAAAGGGCACGAUAAUUACAAUAUAAAUAUAAGAGUGUAUUAGUAACAUCGAGAGAAUUUUAAAAAGUACAAAUCACAUAAUUUUAGAGAUGAAAUGAGUAUUUAUAGAUUUAAUUUUUUUAAAAAAUACCAAAGAUGGAUCUUAUUUAUUUUGAUAUAUAUUGACCUAAAUAUCUUAAUUAAAAGGACAUGAAAAGCAAUGGGGGACUUUGGUUGCCAAAGGAGAAGCUUAUUACUUGUAGGACAAUCAAAUGUUUCUCUUUCACUAGCCCUUACUUCUUAAGCCUAACUAACCAAAACAACCCUAAAAAGGUAACCAAACUCCCCUAAUGCAAAUAACAUCGCACAACGCAUGACCAAAGAAAGAAAAAGAAGAAACUCAAAAUUUCAAAAAAAACAUAAUACAAAAUGCAAAACAAGCUAACGAUAAUAAAUCUAAAUUAAAGAUGUAUCAUCCCCCAACAAUGGACCCAAAAAAGAAAAAGAAGAAACUCAAAAUUUUGAAACAGUUCAAUAAGAAAUAAUCGACCAGAAAGGGUUCUUUAUGGACUGGAAGAAAUAGUAACACAAUUAUUUUUAACAAUCCAAUAGUGCAAAUAAAACUAAAAGAAUGUCGAAUAAAAGAGGGAAGGAACUUCUACUUACAUCGACGAUUCAAAGUACUCCCUACAACUUAAACCAAGUGCGAAUCAGGAUCUAAAUUAGCUUUCAAAAACCGUAGAAAAAGGAAAUGAUAAUUAAUAAGAGUGUAAUAGUAACAUGGGGGAAUUUUAAAAAGUAACCUAACCCAAAAUUUUAGAGAUGAAAGGAGUAUUUAUAGAUUUUAUUUUUAAAAAAUUACCAAAGAUGGAUCUUAUUUAUUUUGAUAUAUAUUUAUAUAAAUUUCUUAAGCAAAAGGACAUGAAGAGUAAUAGUGUAGACGUACCUGUUAACGAGGGACGAAUUUGGCUUCUGUAGGAGCAGCCUCUUUCUUUCCUAGAAAAAUGGUCAGAUGCUUGAGGAAAAGCUUAUUACUUGUUGGACAAUCAAAUGCUUCCCUUUCACAAGCCCUUACUCUUAAGCCUAACUAGCCACACCCCCCCCCCCCCCCCCCCCAAAAAAACAACCAUACACCCCUAAAAAAAACUAUGAAUCAUGACAUCAUGGUAAUUUCGAUCUGAGACAAGAAAAAUGAAUUAUCUCCCUUACUCUCAAGCCUAACUAACAGAGACGUAUCAAAAAUGAAAUCAAAAUGCAUUUACCUAGUCAAUUGUUGAUACAUUUUUCGAGUAGUGAAAAGUAGAAAUAAGAAUGGCCAAAGCAUGGACAACACUAACUUUGAUGCAAAAGCAUCUUUGUCCUUCUGGUCACAGAUACUGCCCAGAACAUCCUUUCUUCUAACUUUCUUCACACCAUCCAUUCCCUUAUAUCAACAAUAGCAACGAAUGCCACCAACAGAACCCAGAGCAAUAGUAACUUAGGAAUCUAAGACCUCAUGGCUUGAAUGGAUGUGCACUCUUUUUUUACUUUCAUUUUGCACAGCCACUGAGUGGUGGCUUUGCUGCAUCUUCAUACUCAUCCCAACAAUUAAGUCAUUUCUACGUUUUCUCUCUUCAUUCUUCCUCAUUUAUCUCCAUCCUUAAUAACCCCAUUUUAAAGUUGCACAUAGAGAUACACAAAUAUAAGAUCACUUCUUCUGAAAACAAAACCAACAAUUAUUCAAGAACCCCAGUUCAACAACCAUGUCUGUGUUUUAAAUGCAAGCCGAAAAACUAAAAAAUGAAAAUCCCAAAAAUUACUCAUGACACUCUUCAAAAUAAAAAAGAACAACAGAAUCACAAAAUGCAAGAGCGAUUAAGGUACUCCGGGUCUAUCAAUGCUAAAAAACUCUUCCAUUUCUUCCAAGAGCAAAUAAGGAUUUAAAUUAACUUUAAAAGACCAUAGGAAAAGGACAUCAUAAUAACAACACAAAUAUAAGAGUGUAAUAGUAACAUGGAGGGAAUUUUAAAAAGUAACAAAAUGCAAAAUUUUAGAGAUGAAAUGAGUAUUCAUAGAUUUGAUUUUUAAAAAAUUACCAAAGGUGGAUCUUAUUUAUUUUUAUAUAUCCACUUUUAAGCCUAACUAACUGAGACGUAUCAAAGACAAAAAUCGAAACACAUUUACCUGAACAAUCG